CCAUGCAUAGAGUACUACCCUUAGUUACCUAUUUUGAGCCUUCAAGCCUUUCUUUGGAAACCACAUUACAAGCCUUGAACUAUUCAAAAUUUUUCCCUCUCCUGAACUUUACCCUCCUUGAACAUAAAAAUAAAACUUAAGGCUUAAUGCUUAAGUUAGGGGUGGUAAGUUUAGAAGAGAUGACCUUGGGACAUGGCAAUGUAAGUGGAUGCCUAUG
rnacentral:lncRNA from 1 species